UCGUAAGAGGGCAAACCACUAGUUUACUAGUGGGGUUGUAGGACUGUAACAUAGACUAAAAAGAGUUAAUAGAAUAAUCUGGAAAGUUUAAGCAUAGAGGGUGAUACUCCCGUAUAUGAAAACUCUUUUUUACUUAACAGUAUCCUGAGUAGGGCGAGGCACGUGAAACCUUGUCUGAAUCUGGGAAGACCACUUUCCAACCCUAAAUACUACUACCAAACCGAUAGCGAACAAGUACCGUGAGGGAAAGGUGAAAAGAACGGGGGUGACCCGAGUGAAAUAGAACCUGAAACCAUUUGCUUACAAUCAUUCAGAGCACGAUUCUUUAUGACGUGUGAUGGACUGCCUUUUGCAUAAUGAGCCUGCGAGUUGUGAUAUCUGGCAAGGUUAAGGAAAUCCGGAGCCGUAGCGAAAGCAAGUCUUAAUAGGGCGUUUAGUCAGAUAUUGCAGACCCGAAACGAAGUGAUCUAUCCAUGAGCAGGUUGAAACCGGUGUAAGAGCCGGCGGAGGACCGAACCCGCUGACGUUGAAAAGUCUUGGGAUGACUUGUGGAUAGGGGUGAAAGGCCAAUCAAACUUCGUGAUAGCUGGUUCUCUCCGAAAUAUAUUUAGGUAUAGCGUUAUGUAGUAAUUAGAGGGGGUAGAGCACUGAAUGGGCUAGGGCAUACACCAAUGUACCAAACCCUAUCAAACUCCGAAUACCUUUAAUGUAAUCAUAGCAGUCAGGCGGCGAGUGAUAAAAUCCGUCGUCAAGAGGGGAACAACCCAGACUACCGACUAAGGUCCCAAAAUCUUAUUUAAGUGGAAAACGAUGUGAAGUUACUUAAACAACCAGGAGGUUGGCUUAGAAGCAGCCAUCCUUUAAAGAAAGCGUAAUAGCUCACUGGUCUAGUGAUUUUGCGCGGAAAAUAUAACGGGGCUAAAAUAAGUACCGAAGUCGUAGACUUAGUUUUACUAAGUGGUAGGAGAGCGUUGUAUUUAGCGUUGAAGAUGUACCGGUAAGGAGCGUUGGAGCAAAUACAAGUGAGCAUGCAGGCAUGAGUAGCGUUAAAUCAGGUGAGAAUCCUGAUCGCCGAAAACCCAAGGUUUCCUACGCGAUGCUCGUCAUCGUAGGGUUAGUCGGGUCCUAAGCAAAGUCCGAAAGGGGUAUGCGAUGGAAAAUUGGUUAAUAUUCCAAUACCAAUUAUUAUGUGCGAUGGAAGGACGCUUAAAGUUAGUGGAGCUAACUGAUGGAAUAGUUAGUCUAAGGUCGUAGGUUGAGUUAUAGGCAAAUCCGUAACUCUUUAUCCGAAAGCUUAAAGGCUUACAAAGCUCUUCGGAGUAGCGUAAGAAUCCAUGAUACUAUAGAGCCAAGAAAAGUUUCUAAGUUUAGUAAUAAUUGCCCGUACCGUAAACCGACACAGGUGGGUGGGAUGAGUAUUCUAAGGCGCGUGGAAGAACUCUCUUUAAGGAACUCUGCAAAAUAGCACCGUAUCUUCGGUAUAAGGUGUGCCUACCAGGGUGCAAGCCCUAGAGGUUACAACAAAGAGUCCCUCCCGACUGUUUACCAAAAACACAGCACUCUGCUAACACGUAAGUGGAUGUAUAGGGUGUGACGCCUGCCCGGUGCUCGAAGGUUAAUUGAUGGAGUUAGCAUUAGCAAAGCUCUUGAUCGAAGCCCGGGUAAACGGCGGCCGUAACUAUAACGGUCCUAAGGUAGCGAAAUUCCUUGUCGGUUAAAUACCGACCUGCAUGAAUGGCGUAACGAGAUGGGAGCUGUCUCAAAGAGGGAUCCAGUGAAAUUGUAGUGGAGGUGAAAAUUCCUCCUACCCGCGGCAAGACGGAAAGACCCCGUGAACCUUUACUAUAGCUUGACACUGCUACUUGGAUAAAGAUGUGCAGGAUAGGUGGGAGAUUAUGAUCUAUAGAUGCUAGUCUAUAAGGAGUCAUCCUUGAGAUACCACUCUUCUUUAUUCGGGUAGCUAACUAGCCUAAGUUAUCCUUAGGUAGGACAAUGUCUGGUGGGUAGUUUGACUGGGGCGGUCGCCUCCCAAAUAAUAACGGAGGCUUACAAAGGUUGGUUCAAAACGGUUGGAAAUCGUUUGUAGAGUAUAAAGGCAAAAACCAGCUUAACUGCGACACCGACAAGUGGAGCAGAGACGAAAGUCGGUCUUAGUGAUCCGGUGGUUCUGUGUGGAAGGGCCAUCGCUCAAAGGAUAAAAGGUACCCCGGGGAUAACAGGCUGAUCUCCCCCAAGAGUUCACAUCGACGGGGAGGUUUGG
rnacentral:rRNA from 1 species